rnacentral:lncRNA from 1 species
GGACUCUCAAAACAUGUCUGUCGAUUUGCUGAGCACGUGAAUGGGUGGACGGUUUAUCAGCCGACCCUGACCUUUCCAGUGGUCUAGCUGCAGCCCCGUCCAGGAGAUUCUGACCUGAAAGUGCAGCACAAGCCUCUGUGGUUGUUCCAAGGGGAUUACUGAGUGACCCCUAGGUCCGAGGUGCCCCGAGUCUCUGCAUCACACCUGCAGAGUCAUGGUGACCCCUCAACACACUUUGGGAGGAUGGCGUUACCCCCAAUUCACAGAUGAGGACACUGAGGCUCAUGGAGAAGAAGGCUGUUGCUCCAGGUCACCCAGCCCAUGAAUGACAGGCAAGAUUCAAAUCUGACUCUUCUCAGUCUCCGGAUAUGCACAUAUUCAGGCUGGUGGCAGAGUGGUGUGUCAUUCACUCAGCCAGCCAUUGGUUCUGCCCGCCUUGCCCAAGAAUCCCCCUGGCGCCACACCCAUGCUGGGUACUGGGUCUGUGGCAAUGAAGGAAAUAACCUCAGAGCUUGCUGCCACCAGAUUCCCGCCUGGAGGGCAAAACCCCACCCAAAUAAUGCUCACACCGUGACCUGGGGACCUUGGACCGGCUGGCAGGAGAAAGCUGGCGAGUGCAGGGGCUGCUGAGCUGGGGCCCAGGACAGGCUCGGGGUGCAGACUGCUGGGUGGGAGGGCAUCGCAGCAGGGGAAGAAAGUCAAGGCCUGUGGAAGGGAUGAAAGAAGAUGGGAGUCACAGUCCUGAGGCCAGCAGCGCUGUUCCCUGGGCCGCUUCCCCCCACGGCGGCUGUGCGGGUGGCUCUCUAAAUGUCUGCGACAGGGUGGGACGUCCACAGUGGUCCAUUAUGGCUGGAGAGAGGAGGCUGCGCACUGUUGAGAGGCAGGACGAGCGUCCUCUGAUCUGAACCCCGCACCUGCAGGGUAGGCCGUCUAGCCCUGCGGCGGGGUGAGCUGGGCCCCUGGGGGUCUCGGUCCUCUCUGUCACUCGCCAACUUUCCUUGG